UUGCACCGAGAUUCAACAUGGAACGAGUGGCGGACGGGUGAGUAACACGUGGGUAACCUGCCCUUAAGUGGGGGAUAACAUUUGGAAACAGAUGCUAAUACCGCAUAGAUCCAAGAACCGCAUGGUUCUUGGCUGAAAGAUGGCGUAAGCUAUCGCUUUUGGAUGGACCCGCGGCGUAUUAGCUAGUUGGUGAGGUAAUGGCUCACCAAGGCGAUGAUACGUAGCCGAACUGAGAGGUUGAUCGGCCACAUUGGGACUGAGACACGGCCCAAACUCCUACGGGAGGCAGCAGUAGGGAAUCUUCCACAAUGGACGCAAGUCUGAUGGAGCAACGCCGCGUGAGUGAAGAAGGCUUUCGGGUCGUAAAACUCUGUUGUUGGAGAAGAAUGGUCGGCAGAGUAACUGUUGUCGGCGUGACGGUAUCCAACCAGAAAGCCACGGCUAACUACGUGCCAGCAGCCGCGGUAAUACGUAGGUGGCAAGCGUUAUCCGGAUUUAUUGGGCGUAAAGCGAGCGCAGGCGGUUUUUUAAGUCUGAUGUGAAAGCCCUCGGCUUAACCGAGGAAGCGCAUCGGAAACUGGGAAACUUGAGUGCAGAAGAGGACAGUGGAACUCCAUGUGUAGCGGUGAAAUGCGUAGAUAUAUGGAAGAACACCAGUGGCGAAGGCGGCUGUCUGGUCUGUAACUGACGCUGAGGCUCGAAAGCAUGGGUAGCGAACAGGAUUAGAUACCCUGGUAGUCCAUGCCGUAAACGAUGAAUGCUAGGUGUUGGAGGGUUUCCGCCCUUCAGUGCCGCAGCUAACGCAUUAAGCAUUCCGCCUGGGGAGUACGACCGCAAGGUUGAAACUCAAAGGAAUUGACGGGGGCCCGCACAAGCGGUGGAGCAUGUGGUUUAAUUCGAAGCAACGCGAAGAACCUUACCAGGUCUUGACAUCUUUUGAUCACCUGAGAGAUCAGGUUUCCCCUUCGGGGGCAAAAUGACAGGUGGUGCAUGGUUGUCGUCAGCUCGUGUCGUGAGAUGUUGGGUUAAGUCCCGCAACG
rnacentral:rRNA from 1 species